rnacentral:rRNA from 1 species
GACGAACGCUGGCGGCGUGCUUAACACAUGCAAGUCGAACGGAAAGGCCUGCUUUCCCUUGUGGAUUGCGGGUACUCGAGUGGCGAACGGGUGAGUAACACGUGAGUGAUCUGCCCCCAACUUGGGUAUAAGCCUGGGAAACUGGGUCUAAUUCCCGAUAGGACUGCAGGGUGGUGCCUGUGGUGGAAAACGAUUUUCUAGUGGUUGGGGAUGAGCUCGCGGCCUAUCAGCUUGUUGGUGGGGUAAUGGCCUACCAAGGCGGCGACGGGUAGCCGGCCUGAGAGGGUGGACGGCCACAUUGGGACUGAGAUACGGCCCAGACUCCUACGGGAGGCAGCAGUGGGGAAUAUUGCACAAUGGGCGGAAGCCUGAUGCAGCGACGCCGCGUGGGGGAGGACGGCCUUCGGGUUGUAAACUCCUUUCGACCGCGAGGAAGCCACCUGGUUGGAAGGGUGGUGACGGUAGUGGUAGAAGAAGCACCGGCUAACUACGU